AGAGUUUGAUCCUGGCUCAGGAUGAACGCUGGCGGCAUGCCUAAUACAUGCAAGUCGAACGAGAGGAAGGAAAGCUUGCUUUUCUGAAUCUAGUGGCGAACGGGUGAGUAACACGUAGGUAACCUGCCCAUGUGCCCGGGAUAACUUCUGGAAACGGAUGCUAAAACCGGAUAGGUAGCAGACAAGCAUUUGACUGCUAUUAAAGUGGCCUUGGCCAUGAACAUGGAUGGACCUGCGGUGCAUUAGCUGGUUGGUGAGGUAACGGCCCACCAAGGCGACGAUGCAUAGCCGGCCUGAGAGGGCGGACGGCCACAUUGGGACUGAGACACGGCCCAAACUCCUACGGGAGGCAGCAGUAGGGAAUUUUCGUCAAUGGGGGGAACCCUGAACGAGCAAUGCCGCGUGAGUGAGGAAGGUCUUCGGAUCGUAAAGCUCUGUUGUAAGAGAAAAACGGCACUCAUAGGGAAUGAUGAGUGAGUGAUGGUAUCUUACCAGAAAGUCACGGCUAACUACGUGCCAGCAGCCGCGGUAAUACGUAGGUGGCGAGCGUUAUCCGGAAUUAUUGGGCGUAAAGAGGGAGCAGGCGGCACUAAGGGUCUGUGGUGAAAGAUCGAAGCUUAACUUCGGUAAGCCAUGGAAACCGUAGAGCUAGAGUGUGUGAGAGGAUCGUGGAAUUCCAUGUGUAGCGGUGAAAUGCGUAGAUAUAUGGAGGAACACCAGUGGCGAAGGCGGCCGUCUGGUCUGGAUUCUGACACUGAAGCACGAAAGCGUGGGGAGCAAAUAGGAUUAGAUACCCUAGUAGUCCACGCCGUAAACGAUGAGAACUAGGUGUUGGGGGAAUAACUCAGUGCCGCAGUUAACGCAGUAAGUUCUCCGCCUGGGGAGUAUGCACGCAAGUGUGAAACUCAAAGGAAUUGACGGGGGCCCGCACAAGCGGUGGAGUAUGU
rnacentral:rRNA from 1 species